rnacentral:lncRNA from 13 species
CUCCCUUAAGAAUCAAGUUUCUGGGACAAGAGUCCAAAGAGUAGUUGGAAAAGCAGUCUCUUUCCUUAGGAAUUAUUAACAUUCUGUGUUUUCACUAGUAUAUUAAUUAUUAUAGCUGUUUUCUUGUCUGUAACCAGGCAUUCACUACUGGACUAAAAAUGGCUAUGGAAUUUGCUUUAGGAAGGACCAGCUGAAGCAGCUGUCCAUUAACGUCACUAUCCAACAAAUCGUACACUUGGGACAUCUGAUGGUGAAGAAAAAUAAUAUUUAGAAAGUUCAACUUGCUUCAUACUACUCAAGUGAAAUUUUAAUGGGAACUUGUCUGUUGUCUCGGCUUGUUCAUGUCUGGGCAUAAGGCAGAAACUGGAAAAGUGGAGAGAGAGAAUAUCUCAGCAGUUGUUGGAUAAUUGAUUGAAAGAGGAAGUGGAUUAAUAUAGUGGCAGAAGACCUGCCCAGCUACUAGGCAAAGCAAUGGGAUACCAAAUAUGAAAAUUAAAAAAGGGAUCACAGAGGAAAAGAGCUACCUCUGUCUGGGGAAACACCAACGGGAUCUAAGAUCAAGAGACAGACUUUCUCUAUUUUGACCAGGUUGGUCUUGAACUCUUUGGCUCAAGUGAUCCACCUGCCUCAGGCUCUCAAGUGCUGGGAUUACAGCUGCACACCACCAUGCCCAGUCAAAGUUAAUACAUUUCACCUCUUCAAGAACUCCUUUGAAAUCCAAGGCUGUUCAAUGAAAAAAAUGGUCUCAGAUGAAGAAGACAGCAUGAUCUUGUGGUUCCUCCUACCUAAUGACUGUGCAUGGCGGGGGUACUCCAGGCAUUCCACUGUUGCCUCCUGUGUCACUCAUCUAAAAGGCAAGUUCUGCUCUGGGGCGUCCCAUCAGGCAGGCCACAGCUUUCUCAGGGCUUCACCACAGACCGAGGCUCUUCCCUAA